ensembl:lncRNA
AGUCCAUAGAGCAGAGCAGAGCAGCUCUAGACUGUUCUGGCUUCAAGUUUUGAAAAUAAAUGUUUUUUUUCCUACAAAGCUGUACUUCAGCAGUUCUGAACAAACACUAACUCUUAACUCCUCCUCUGCACUGACUUUUGUUUGUUUUAAGGUGUUUCCAAAACCACUUACGUGUAAGAAGGUGUUUUAACUCUGAAACCCGGAUCUAACUUCCUAGUUGAUUAUGCAACAAGUGCAGUCAUCACUUGAAAUACGACUUGCAUAGCUAAAACUGCAAUGAUAUUUCUGAAAAGGCUGACCAAUGGUGUAGACAAAAAUUUUGGUGGUCUUCCUAGGAUAACAAAAUUGUUCCUAACAAGUCUUACCAACAAUGUUGAUGUGGUGCCUGUCAAAGUGGACUCAGUGGAGAAAGAGGAAAAAGAAAUUGGAACUAAAUGUUCUUCCUUCUCAGCUGCCUCGCCGUUAUGGAAGAGUACUUUUCCAAAGGAAAGGUGAGCUGCCAUCAGUGGAUAUGCAUUGCUGAGUUAAAAAAUAUCUAACACAAACUAACAAUCUUUAGUGAGAAAAAUAGAAUACCAUUACUGUACAUUCUAAUAUUGAGAGAUAACAGAAAGAAUAUUUUCUUGUAAUGAGUACAUUAUAAUGAGUACAACUUUCUGUUCUAUUUUUCCACUUCCCAUUGCUUUUCUCUGUGGUAUCCAUCAACAUUUAACGGCUCCAUCACAUUUCUUAAAGGAAGCUUAGGAUGCUGGACUGAGUCAUUAUGUAAUUAAAUAAUUGUGCUUAUGACUGAUAAAAAUACUGUAUGCCUUUUAUUUUCAUUGAACUUUUAGAAUAUUAAACUUUCCAGGUGUUCCUUCUUCCCUUUUAAGCUUCUUUAAAUGUUUCAGUUAUCUUUUCUUCUCCUCCUCCAUAGAGGUCAUCUUGCAAUUUUGACUUUGGGACUUGCCUCCUCUCAUUGUAUCAUGCCUUUCUGAAAACGUUCACCAGAGUAUUUGAGCGCUUUCAAAAGUGUAACACUGAACUGCUUGCUCUGCAUCUGUUUGAAGUCCACCCUUGUUCACAAACUGGGGAGGUUACAUGGCCUUGACGAUCUCCAGCUCAAUACUCCCACAACUGGCAGUGAGAUUAGAGAACAGAGAAAUUUUAACUGGCUCCCUUUAAAAUCCACUUUUGUUUACAUGCUCAUAUUCUUAGGCCCUAAAGAGGAGGGGCUAACAAUACUGGAGAUAGUAAUGGCAUAGGAAUUCUGUCGUAAUCACAUUUGAUAUCUAACAAAUGGGGAUAAAGACAAUUUGGUCGUUUAUAUUUGGCUAGUGGCCACUGCAUAUUUUCAGAGUUGCAGCGAAGGACAAGAUAGACUGUUUAGAUAGAAUGUUUCUCACUCCUCCCCCUCGUCUAGAUCACUUGCAGUAAGAUUUAUCAUGAAAGACAGAAGUAAAUGUUUUAUUCAGACUGUUUUAGCCUUUUGUCUCAGGCUUGUUUAAAGUAAUUCUGAAGUGCCCUGAAACCUAAGUAUCACUAUAACUUGUCUUUGAAGGAAAAAAAAAAAAGAAAAAACCCACACUACCCAGAAGGCUUAACAAAACUCUGUACAGGUAGGGAUAUGUGGAAAUUACUGCGCAGAGAGUAAAUAAACAUGCAUUAGAUUUCUAAAUAUGUCUAAAU